UCCCUGGUAGUAUAUCGGUUAGUACACGCGCCUGUCAUUCAUUUGCGAUCCAGAAAGCUGUCGCGCGAAAGCUGGGUUCGACUCCCAGCCAGGGAG